rnacentral:lncRNA from 1 species
UUUUUUUUUUUUUUGGGUUUUUCCAGAACCCUAGUCUUUGAGAUUCUAAAAAUCAUGAAAAAAAAAAUUAAUAUGAACCUCGAAUUGACUUUGCUUUUGCAAAAGAUGGGCUUGCGGAGAGGAAAUUAUAAACACAAGCAAUUAUCAUCGUAACUUAUUUUAUAGUGUUGUAAAUAAACACGCAAGUAAUUUUCAUCACCGAUCACGCCUUAUUUCACAGUAUCGUAAAUAAACAACUCUAGUCUUGCUUGUCAUAUUGAAAACAAAAUGGAGCCACAAAGAUGAUGUGGUUAAAUAUUUUUGUAUUAAUAGGCCUUCAUCACAUAUACAAGUAUUACAAGAUAAUAGGUUAAUCUUCUACAAAAAUAAAUAAAUAAAUAAAUAGCCGAACAAUAUAGGGAUUUCUUGAGAUAAAUUGUUGCCUAGCAUGUGCCGAGGCCACUCAGCCAGCCCACACCCUCAUUUUGGCGAGGGCAUAGGGCCAGCGCAUGAGUUCAAAUCCCCUUUUGGAACUCUUAUAAUUCUUGUCUCAGUUAAAAAAUUAAGUAAAGAUAACGGGUGGAGUACAUACCCCUCCAAUAUUGUGAGGAUAGAAAUCUAGGCUUGUGCCAUAUUAGACUUUAUGUAAGAUAAUCCUAGUAACUUUCUGAUUCUAAAUAUCACUAGCCUUCUUAUUGUAAUAUAUAUCAGUAUUCCAAAAUAAAGAAAUAUUGCCUAGCAUGCAUUCAUGUACGUAAGAUAAACAAACAAGAAAGUGAAGAAGAAUAAUAUCAUAUAAAUGACAUAAAUUUGAAGAACUAUAGCAAUAUAUUGAUAUUAAAAGUCCAAGCUGGGGUCAAGCAUAUAGAAAUAAUGUUCUCGUAUUAGAAAUGAUAAUAUAAUUACUCUAAACUCAAUUCAAAAUAGAAAGGGGUGUUGGAGAAGUGUAGCAUGAAAAAUGAUAUCAAAAUCUGUUUUGAUGAGCCGAGCUUGAGCCUCAAUCCACCCACUACAAAGAACUACAAUUCUAUUAUAGAGUGCACUCUAGAACGUUAAAAUUUCAAGAGGCCACUUCAUUGCUUCAAAUUCUUUAAAAUACCUGCUGAAAGAGGAUGCAGAACACAACAGAUUUGUUGACUGAAUUAUAAUCUUUCACACCGAGAUUCGCUCAAGCAGUCAGCAUCCUCUGGAGCAUUUUGGGUAAUUUAUCAAGACAAUUUAAAGUUCAUCGUGGUGCGGAGGUUGCUUCUUGUUCAAUUCAUCUAGUUUAUUUUGCAGUUCCUAUCAUAUUUUGCAAUUUACCAAAUAUUAUUAGAAAUCCAAGGCAAAAGAGAAGAGGUUAUCGCUGCAAAUUUUACAAAAUCCAUAGUAAACUUACCUGAAGCUUUUCCUCUGAGCAAACAGCAGGGGUAGACAAUAAUGCGACAUAUCUGCAAUGAUGAACUAGAAGUUAGACAACAAGCAGGAGACAGACAAAGAUAGAAAUAGAGAGAGGAGGGAAAAUUUCAUACUCGCAGCGGCUUGGUUCAUCAACAUCAGUAACCUCAUUUUUCAACCCACAUCUUAGCCGGACCUGUAAAACAAUACAUUUAUAAUUGAAUUCAUUAAAUCUAUCUUUUAAUUUGACUUCCAUUUCAAUGACCAUAUUACUUAAUUUUUGUCCCACGGUUAUGAACUCUUUAAAGUAACCUUACAAUUGGAUGGAAAGAUAACAUGUUUCAUGUAGUUUGUGUUUUGUGAUAAAUACUUUGGAUCUAAGCACAGGUAAUCCACAAAUCUUCUAAUGCAAAAUCUAAAAUAUUGUUACAAGUUCUGAGAAAUAAAAUUGAGAAAUAUUGGAUUCCAACAACUUCUGACAGAAUCAAAGCACAACCAACUGCAGUAACAUCACAAUGUUACCUUCAUACUUCUAUCAGGCCCAUUCCAACACUUAUCACCGUUUGAAAAUAGCAUGAUGUGGUAUGAGUCCUCGAAUUUGUCCCAGCUCCUAUUCAUCAAAAAACAACAGGAAAGAAGAGAGUACAAUCCAAGUAAGUAAUCAGACGGAAAGUGGAAUGCAAAAGGAAUGUGGACAUCACAAGGAUUGGCAAUGAUCAUAUUGGAAGGGGUUCAAGCAUUUGUAGUACAAACUAAAAUGCCUACCCACCCGACAAAUCUACUAUCUCAUCUUGAUUAUUCCCCUUUUUUUAUGCCUAAUUACUCCAAGUUGCAUUAAAUGAAUCCAAAUACAAACAACAUGUUUAAAUGUACCAUGGGUCAACCAAAAUACUCAGAUUUGUCCAGAACAUAGAUCUUCAAGGUGGAAGAACAAACAAUAUGCUGUAAAAAGAGCAAAUAUAUAAAACUACUAGGGAAAAAAUAAUGCAACCAAAAAAUAGUUGUAGAAACCUACCCCAGACGAGUCGUUGAGUGGCCCUCCUCUUGGGUAGUUUUUUUGUAUGGACAGACUUUGUAAACAUACCUGAAGCAAGAUCAGCCAUGGCAAAACAAUUUGAAUUGAAGAUAAUUGCAGCUUCCUAGAAGAUAUAAAAUAUUAAUAGUAAUGAUACAGCUACAAACUCUUUUGUCCAAAUGACUUUGUACAAACUGAUGUGGCAUCACAUGAAUGGUUAAAUGAAGACAUCACUUGGCCCACAUGAUUUAUUUUUAUUAUUUUAUAUUUUUAUUCAAGCAAUCAUGUAAUGCCCCAUCAGUUAGUACAAAAAAUAAUUUGUACAAGAGUUUGUAGCUAUAACUACACAAAUACUAAAUGGAGGAAAAAAGAGUUAAAAAUAGUAACUUGUUCUGCUUGCUCUCAAAACAAUGACCGUAGAAUGAGUAGAACUCCUUCUCUGGCCCUGUAAUAUGAAAGUUCAAGUCAGUUUAGAGAAGCUAAGAUAAAGAAUUAAAUGCCAGAGCAUCAAUUAACAAACAUAAGUUCAUCUUAUACAAACCAAAAUCAUGCUUAAGCUUUUGUGUCAAACUCGAUAUCCUCGACUGUAUUUUAGACAACUUGUCGCUAGACUCAUCAUACUCCUUGCGGACACGAGCAGCGUCUAAAGAAGCAAAACAGAAUAGAUGAUACAUUUCCAUGCAUAAAUUUCCACAUCAAAUAUAACAUAGAAUAAAGGCUUGAACUGUACCUGAUUUGUCUACUGGCGUUUGGAACAAAUUAACAGCCUGCAAAAUAUUCCGUACUGUUUGUUGUAUCUUCUCCAACCAAGAUGGACUACUUGGAGUUGUCAUCUCUAAUAAUAAAGUUGGAUAAAUCAGAGACUGGGGAUUAUGUCAGCCUUACUAAAACAGCUAAAAUUAUAAAAUAAAGUUAACAAUAAAGAAUUUACGGGAAAUAAAGACUUACAAACCUGACAUAUCCAAGUCGUCAUCUACAUCUGUUUUGUAUGAAGUACUGGUAUAAUCAUGAUCCUCCUCUCUAUAAGUUUCAUCUAUAUCAUCUUCCACAUCAUUGUCAUCAUACUUUUCAGUGUCAUACCUUUCUGAAUCAUCAUCAGUAUCUGUAGCAUAUCUAUCCUCUUCAUCAUCAUGGUUGUACUCUGGCACAUCUUCACCUUGAUCAUCAUUUUCUAUUGCACCACCUUCCCCAGAUUGCUUCUCAGUCUUUUCUCCUGUCCAACGAGAAGCAACAAGGCGACCCAACUCUUCCCUUGAUAACUCCUCGGUAUUUUCGGAUACACCAUUCUCCUGUAGUAGCACGCAAUGCAAACACCAAAGACAACAAAAUGACAAAGUUUUGCUAAUUCUAGGUUUGCAGAGGAAAAUAUGAAUGAGAAACUCCUAGGAGAGUUCCUGAUUCUAAAAAACAAUUGUCCCAAAAAUGAUAAGACAAAAACUUUUCUCACUUCUUCCAAAAUAACAGCAAGUUCACAAUACAUUAUCCUUCUAAGAUAAAAGUGACAUCAAGAUUCUCUAUUAACAUUCUAAAGAUCACAGGAAAAAGAUUAAUUAUAAUUGUAAAAAUACUGUAUAGAAAACUUUUCAUCUUCCUCCUCUUCCUUACUACUUUUCUUUAUAUUCAACAACACAGAUGCAGUAACCAGAAAUUUAAUUUUAAAACCUGAAUUCAAUGAUCUCAGAAAUAUAAUGCAGCUUAGCAUCACCUAGAAAUUCCAAAGAUUGCAAUAAGAAAACCUAAUAAAAGCAUCAUCAAAAAUAAGAAGACAACCGAGUAUUGGCUACUGAUAAAAGAAAUAUUUCCCUUAACAAUAUGGGUUGUUACACGACUAUCUUUAAGCUGGCUGCAUUCUCUGCUUGGGUGUUUUGAAGUAUAUCACAUGAUUAGAGUAAAAAAAUAAACAAAUAUAUCAUAUGCGCAUGUUCGAAUGAUGUAGAACAUCUGGCAAUUAACGCACAUGUUAGGCCCAGGCAUAAGAGCUAAACAUUGUUUCGAUUUGUCUUAUACAUAAGAGCUAAACUUUGUUUUGAUUUGUCUUAUCUCUUUUUUUUUUUUUAAUUUAGAUUCAUUAGGUUUCUUUUGAUUGUUUGAGACAGAAACACUGCUGAGAAAUUUACCAAGUUCUUCUCUUCUUUCUUCUCUGCUUCUGGAGACAUCGGACUUUCAGCAUCCGAACUUGUUUCUGGUACAGUGGAAGAACCAUCCUUGCUUCUUGAUGAAGCAGACUGCUCCAUCUCUUCUGUUGCAUGCUAUAUUCAGAGGGAAGAACAUAUCACAAUCUUAUAGUUUUGGAUGGGAGCAUCACUUCAUGGAACAACUUCAAUGUAAGGAACAUACUGAUUGACAAAGUCUAAUUUUCAUUUACCUGCUCCACUCCAUUGACUGGCGUUCCCAAAUUUUGAGAAGUACCAAUUUGUUUAGCUUCAGUUGCUGGCUCUUCAUCAACGUUCUCAGCCUUGCCCUAUUAGAGAGCUGGUAUGUGAGAUCUUGAAAAAGAAAAUUAUUUGCAACAGAAGGGAACAGUAACCAAGAAUACACAAAUCACAAUAAAUAUACAUUGACAUAUGAGCUUCUACUAUAUGUACAUAUAACUAUAGCUGUAUCCAUGUACAGGAGCUAAAAGGCAACUAAAAUGUGUGUGACAAAUGUGGUACCAAGCGGAAAUACAAAUUAAAAUCUAGCUGUCAAAGGAAGAAGAACCAGCAGCAACAUGAGAAUUAUAGACGUGUAAAUUAUUUCAGAACCAAAACUAAAAAGUUGUGUCAAAGGAAGAGGAGAAAUCAAAGUGGAUCUGUGUAUCAAAUACAAGGAAGUAUUACAUCUUAAAAUGAUUCUGUUUAUGUAUAUAUGCAUGGGACUUGUAAUUAACAACUCCAUAGCAGAUUAACAUGCAAUGAAAAUUAGUAAAAGUUGAUUCAGCAAGUUAUUUCUUUUUCAUUAAUAAAAUUCCAUCGUAUCGUCGAGGUUCACCCCAAAAAAAAUUAAAAUAUAUAAAAAAGUUAUCUAUUAAAAGAUUUAAUAAUUUUAUAUUUAAAAAAACUUACUCUGAAUUGUGUUAUGAAAACCUGAAAAACUAAGGGGGUUACCACCGGGUUUCCAAAAGCAAAAUUCCACAUUACAAAAAGCAUAACAAGCUUAUGGCCAUUUGACCCUAUGCACACCAAACCAAGGAAAGAAAUUAUGUUUUAUCAGCAGCCAUGGAGAUAUAAUUGGUUAUGUAACUAACCAAAGUGCAUCAAUAGCUACUUUGCUAACUUCAUUUUUAAUUAAAGAAGAAACAAAAUUACAUGUGAUGAAAUUUAUAUUUGCAGAAAGACGAAAGUUGAGGUUAAAAGGCAGUCUAACCUGAUCGAAAGACUCCUCCUCCAAAACACCGACUUUAUCGUCAUGUCUAACAUCAUCUGGCUUGUCAUCACUGUAAGCAUUCUCCUCAGCUUUAUUUUUUUCCUGCAUAGCUUUCUCGCCAGAUUCACUUUUCUCCUUUCGUUCAUUUUCCUCAGCUUCUUUCCUUUCCUUUUCUUCCUUUUCUCUCUGCAAGCGCUCCUUCUCCUCUGCCUUUUCAAUUUGUUCUUUACGCUCUACAAUGGAGUGGAAGCAAAAGAUUAUGAUAAUGAGCUUUAUAAAGACGAUCAGCUUACGUCCAGCUGGCAAUAGAUAUAAGCAUCUUACAAACAGACAAGAAAAUUAAGAAGUUUAAUAUAUUAUUUUGUGGAUCACCAAGAUCAACAAUGCAAUCAAGACAGAUUACUGUUCACCAAUAACAUAACAUAUGAGGAAACAGACCAAUCAAAAAAGCAGGUACAUAAGGAUUUCCCAAAGUUAUGCAGCUAGCAAAACAUGUAUAAUUAAGAGUAUCUUGCUCACUCUGAAUUUUUCCAAGAAAUGAUUGAACAAAAUCGCUAGUAGUACACCAGGAAAGUGAACCAAAAGGCAUGCAAAAUGAGGACAACUUGCCAGAUGAGGCUAUUGUCAACGAAUAAAGGAAGCUUAUCUAGCAUUAAAUGUAUAAAAUGAAUCCAAAUACCAAUUUCUCGGAAGUUGAAAUGCGUCAAAAUCAAUAAAAAUUUCCAGCAGGGCAUGUCAAAGUUGGGGCACUGCAGCAACUAUGAGUUUUCACUGCCUAAUUCAUACAAUGCUGAGCUCAUCUAUUCUCACUCACCUUUCCCAUUCAUGACAGUACUAGCCUCAUGUUUCCUCCCCCAGAUGUUAGUAGUUCACUCAAAUUGGUCGUACAAGAUGUGGUCCAAGCACUUUAUGCACUAAGAAAAAAGCCUAUAGCAGACAAUGGAUGCCACCUUACUCAUUUUAACUAGUACUUCUAACAACCUCACAUGUGGUGUUUGUACAAGCUCAAAUAUCUAUUCUGCCAUACAUGAACAUAUAUUUAAUUUGCAGUCAAGUGCCUCAUAUUGAAAUAUAAUGAGUAAACAAUGUAACUAGUAAAGCUAACCUUGAAAAAAAAGAUCAUGACUGAAUAUAGUUGAAAAAUAGAGACAUUCACAGGGGAGGGCACAAUGCAUAUUAAAAACAUACCUUUAAGCUGUUGUACGAGCCCUUUGAGUAUUUUCUCUUCAUUUUUCAAAUUUGAUAGUUCUGCCUCAUCCUUGACCAGAUUUUGUUUUGCCUGUUCAAUUUCCUUCUUUCUCAAAAUGACACCCUCUUGGUAUGUAGCUAUCUUUUUCUUCAACUUAUCUCUAGCUACUUUACCAGCCUCCCAGCAAGUGUUUGGGCACUUUACUUUGCCAUCAUACUCAUCACUCCCAUCACAGCAAUCUGCACAUCAAAAGCCACUAAAACAAAUGCAUAGACCUAGAACUUGAAAUAUAAUACUUUAUUUGUGUCAAGAGUGAGAAACAACACACAGAAUAAGAAGUUAAGCAAAGCUGCAAGUAGGUAAUUGAAGUCGCAAAGAACAUUUACCACAAAUGCCAUCAUUCACUUUGGAAGAAAAUAUCAUAAGAGGGGAAUGUCCUGCAUUCUGACAAUAGAAUUUUCCAUUCGGGCAUGCCGAUGUACCUAUAACCCACAUUUCAAAUGCUGAUCCAAGUAAGGAAAUAACUCAAAAAACACAACCCAAUAACCUGACAAUUGGAUAAACACUACUUAAAUAACAAUGAUUGCAAAACAGUUUAAAACGAAGAACAGGUUCCCUAUGAAGUAACAGCCUUACUACAAAACAUAUCACUAAGAAACUAAAAUUAAUCCCCACUUCAAUUAGUUUAGAAUCCCAGCAAAGUAGCCGAAUUUACAAAUCAAGAACUAAUUUUCAUAAAAAAAGAAAAAGAAAAGUAGAAACUGUAAAUGCCAUUGCAAACAUAAAAGCAUAUAAGAGAUGAAUGGAAACCUGGCUCAUCAGUGCCAUCAGGGCAAUCACAAUAAUCAUCAUUAAGCUGGGUUUUGGCGAAUUUCUUGGAUCCAUCUUUGCACUUAAUGGUAUUUGAAGAAGUCUUGUAAUAAUUCUCAUCUGGGUAAUCCGAAAGCAACAGAAUCACAAACCCACGUGUUAAAAUCGUAAGAAACAAUCAAACUUCGAAACAUUAAUUGAAAGAAAAUAAAAGUGACCUUGAGGAGAAAUUCCAUAAAAUGGGUCAUUGAGAAGAGAAGACGCAGCAUUUGAUCUACCAAUAACUGAAGAAGACACCCAUAACAAACUCAACACAAUAGCAUACGUGAAUCUAAAAUCAACUAACACUACUCUCAUUUUUUUUUUUUUUAAAUUUCUUUCGACAAAUCAAUCAGCAAAAAAAAUUUGUAACUUUGUGUGCGCCCAAUAAGAAACGACAGCGAGGGAGAGAGUUUAUAAGUUCGAGAGAGAGACGGGUGAAGGUUUCCGAGUGCUUCUUAUUACUGCUCCGCAAUGCAACGAAGGAUUCUCAAAUGUAAAAAGUUGAAUAUUUUAAUCUCUUUUGUUGAGGGGAAAAGUGUGCUAAAAUAAUCUGACUUUAGGAUGAUUAAGUAAUUAGUGCAAUUUAAUGUUAAUUAUUUUCCAAGAAAAAUAUUUAGUAUUUUUAAAAUGAAUCAAUUUAAAAUUUAUCCAUUGCGGCUCAGCUAAAAGAAAUAUCAAUAGAGAUUUUAAUAGUAAUAUUUAUUUUACACGUACCGAACUUAGCAUGCUAAGAUUGAGCUAAAAGACCCACGAAAAUAUAUGUAAAUGUAAGAAGUUUUUAAAUCAUUUAUUUUAAUUCACUAUCGAGUUUAAACCUCAGGAAGGAUAAAAAAAAAAUCAUUAAUAAAAUUAAUUUAGGCUUUGAUCACUAGUCCUACGAUAGCUCAUAAUAAUUUUUACAAGAAUAAGAAAUAAAAAAUAAUAGAAGAUAUUUUUUCUUAAAAUAAAAGAAAAGACCUCAAUAAAAAAAAUAACAUAUAUUAUUUUCUGUUAAAACAACUAUACACAUUAUCCCCACUUUUUGAAAAUACUAUAUAUUACAACUCCCUUACUAAAAACCUCUCUACCAAUAAUUUUUUGUUUUAAGUUCGUUUAAUUAUUUAAGCUUACAAAAGUUUUUAUUUUGGUAAUUUCAUUUAUAAAAUUAUUAUUGAAAAUAACAAAAGGAACGGCGUCGUUUGUAGGUGGAAAGAUAUUUUUUUUUUCUCGAAAAUAAAGAGAAAAAUACAUCGUUAUCCUGAUCCAAUAAGUGUACAGAGCUAACGAAAAGAUACGAAGCUCGAGAGCAAGUCCAAUGGCCGUGGAGGCAACAAGUUCACUCCUAAGCUGUUCUUCGAAAACCCAUUUCGUGUUCAAUCUCCGCGCUUCAUCUUCACCUUCUUCUUGGAAAAAUUUCACACAAUUGGCGAACUUUGCAGUCAAGAACCGCCAUGUCUGCAGAAAUGAGAGGCCCAAUGUCUCCUGCUCGGCAGCAGCAUUUGCGGUGCAAGAAACGUUGGAGAAGACAAGAGAGUCUGUUAUGGCUAGUAGUGCUAAAGAAAUGAUGCCCAAGAUUGACAAAAGCGGCAGGUUCUGUAGCCCCAGAGCCGCUCGUGAGCUCGCUCUGUAUGUACUUGUUCAUUUUUAAUGCUUCUAGUGCCGGUUGUUGAUAAAUAUUUACUUUUUGGCCUUGAAAUUUUCCCAAAAUUGAAACUGUUGUUGGUAGGAUUUCUUGUUUAUGUCAUUAGACAGUCUUGCGCUUUUGUUCAAUUAAAAAAAAAAAAAAAGAAAUUGAAUUUUAUGUUCUAAUUUUGUUGAGGCUUAAUGGGCAGGUUGGUAGUUUAUGCUGCGUGUUUAGAAGGGUCUGAUCCUAUUCGGCUUUUUGAGAAGCGAUUGAAUUCUAGAAGAGGUAAUGCAUUUGGUAUUCAAGCAUUGCUUGAUAUGGGGUACCGCUGAAUUUGUUCUGCUUUUGAGAUACUUAUUUAUUAUACAUGCAGAACCUGGUUAUGAAUUCGACAAGUCUUCAUUGUUAGAGUAUAAUCAUAUGAGCUUUGGAGGCCCUCCUGUGACAACGGAAACAGUUGAAGAGGCAGAUGAGCUUCUGCGAAGUGAUGAGGAGGAGUCUGCAAUUGGUAAUAAAGCAUUUCUGGAAAAAUUUUAUUCACUUCUUAGACAUGCUGAUGCUUUUCUUUCUGUUGAGUGGCACACUUUUUGAGUUAAAAUUGUUGAAGCAAAAGUUAGUAUAUGUGCAGCUAAUGUGACCAUGCGAGCUUUUCUAACUAUAGUAGCUAGACAAACUUGUGUACUCCUGAGGCAUUGUUAGUGUUAGAAACUCCAGUGGAAGUUUAGUCAUUGUAUGCGACAUAGAGGAAUGGAGGGUGAAAGCAUGAUGCUUUAAUGUGGUAAGAAGACCUGUAUGGACUUUUUGUUUACUGUAGCUAGGUCAUGAAUGAAUGACCAAUUCAUCAUUUUGUGGGUUUCAUCCAUUUGUGAACUUGGUGAAUUGAUUCUUUUUCCGUCGUCUUCCUUGAAUUUGCAUACCAAAAUGUUACCUGUAAAGCUGAAGCUGCUGUUUGCUUUAAUUCUAUUCUUCCUUUAGUAAGCCUAAAUGCCUUAUUCCAAGCUGCAUUUUUGUAUCACAAACAGAAGCAGAAGUCCUCUCAGCUCCUCCAAAGUUGGUAUACAGCAAACUGCUUUUGCGGUAAAUCCCUAAUGAUACAUGAUUUUUAUUUUAUCACUAAACUAUUGGCUUUAAUUAGUUCAUUUAUAUGUGCUUUUGUGAAUGAAUGAGUGAGGUAAUAGGUAUGCGUCUAAUUUUUUAUGCUUCAUGCAGUUUCACAAGGAAGCUUUUGGUCGCAGUUGUGGACAAGUGGGAUGCUCAUGUCCGCAUUAUUGACAAAGUUGUACCACCUAUUUGGAAGGUCUGGAAAAUGGUUUUUAUUGUAUGCAUUGCUAAAUUUCUUUUUGCUAGGAUGAUAUUAUUAUCUCGCUAAACUUAGAUAGUCCGUCUUAUAUUUCUAAACCAAUUAUAAACUUUUUUGUUCAAUCUGUGGGAAAUUCUUUUUUACAUGAUUUUAUAAAAAUUAAGAGAAGACACCUACAAAAAUAGUCCUUUGCCAUCAAUUACUUGGAAAAAGAUAAUACCUUACUGAUAUCACAAGUGAAGUUAUGUUAGUAUACGUAUGAUGGAUGAUGUCUUCUGUCCAAAAUAUAUCAAUUUAAAACAUAUGCCUUGCAACAUUAGAUUGGACUGCUCUACUGCACUCUAAUUGUUUCAUAUUUGCUUAACAAGCAAAGAGGAAUAAAUGACUGGACUAGGUUCAGGUCCACAUGUUACAGUGUGAGUAUUGACGGCCAUCUUUUCUGAUUUAUUCAAUAGUUAACAUUUCUAGCUUAUGUGUUAGUUCAGAAAAUGCAACAUUACUGCAAAUGUCCUUGUAAUUGAGAAUGGUAUACAUUUAGGCAUAUAAAAGAUAAGGAAAUUUUCAUAUGCAUAUUUGAGUUGAGGCCAUUUGCCUGGAUCAGUUAUUCGGUUUGGUCCAUAUGUUGCCAUUUUAUCUCAAGCUUUUGUACGUUCACGCUUGGGGGAACACCAAGUAUUUUACUUCUUUGGAUUGAUAUACUUCAGGAUCAACCAGCAGGAAGAAUUUUGGAACUUAGCAUUCUCCACUUAGCCAUGUCUGAGAUAACAGUUGUGGGAACGCGGCACCAGAUUGUGAUUAAUGAGGCACAUCUCACUCUUCACUUUCUCUUUAUUGUUUGCUUCUCUUCCUCUACAAUCUGAUUGCCAUUAUAUUUCUUAACUCAUUGUCUUUUUCUUGAAGGCUGUUGAUCUUGCAAAAAGAUUUUGUGAUGGAGCAGCACCACGUAUAAUCAACGGUUGUCUUCGAACCUUUGUGAGGAAUCUUGAAGGAACUGCUAAUACUGAGGCUUCCAAGGCUAGCAAGGAAGUUCCAUCAGAAGUAUGAACUGCGCACUUUUUCAGUAACAUUCUUUCUGUGCUGGGAUUUUGUUACGAAACCCCCAUGUUAAGCUGAAGAACCUCAAUCUGAAAAGUGUGUUUUAUCAUCUGCUUCCGUAAAAUCUUGGAAAGUUUUGGAGGCUUAAUAGUUGUUAGAAACAGAUAAGUUCUGGGAAAUAUUAACGUCUCACAACAGACAAUAGAGCUUAAUAUAUAUGUAUAUGAUUCUUAUGUUGUAGUUAUUGAUCCUUUCUUGUACAACAUUAACGUCCAAUAUCUCUUAAUGAGAUCAUGAAUUAAAAUUUUAUUCCUCAUCUUUAUUUUUACACCAUUUCAUUCCUAAAGCUGAGACCAAUAUUAUUUUUGCUUAUGGCUUAAGGUGAGGUUUCGGCAUAUCUGUGUAUUAAAAAAUUUCUUGAAAAAUAAUCACAGUUCAUAUUAGUUGACCUAUAGCUUAUGAAUAUCUCCCAAUUCCUUUAACUUAGGAUAUAUCCUAAACUUAUGCUGAUAAUUAAAGAUAGUACUUUUUAAUUCUUUAUGUUUAUUAAUUUAUCUAUCACUGUAUUUGAUGUUCCAAAUAUAUAUAUAUAUAUAUAUAUAUAUAUAUAUAUAUAUAUAUAUAUAUAUAUAUAUAUAUAUAUAUAUAUUAUGAAUUUACUAAUCAUGGAUUCCUACUAUGUUAGUGAUUUAAGUGCUGGGACAUACAUAUGAUAUACAUUCGAACUCCUAUUGCGGGUAAUUAUUAGUCAUCCUCAAUGUCAUAUGGAUCCGGUGACAUACGACACUUGUAACUCUCCGAAUUUCCACAUGUGAAAGAAGGAAAAAUUUCAUGACCAAGCACUGCCCGUCAGCAUCUUCAACAAAUUAGGAUCACUGGUGGUGGAUGGAAAAUUCUAAUAUUGUUCAUUUGCCUGGAGAAAUUGGAUAAUUAAUAUGUAUCAUUUUUGUUCUUAGAACCUUUUUUUUUCCCUUAUAAUUGAGAAUGAGUGACUAUUUAGUAUGACUUAUCUAAUAUUAUAAGUGUUUAUUUAAUUUCAUAAGUUCUAAUUGAAAUUUUUGUUGUUAUUUAGUUUUUUCUUUUUUUUUUUUAGUAGAGCUUGUGAAGAUUAAAUAAGUUAUUUUACCUCCAAUAGCAAAAGUUUAAAUUUUAGGCUUUUGAGAGUAGGAGUCAAAUUUUUUUUUUAAAUGUUAAAAUCUCUAAAAUAUUCUUUACUUAUUUGACAAUUUUAUUUCAUUCUUUUUAUAAUAUAACUUUAAAAAAACUUAUCUAUUAAAGUAGUUUUAUAAAUUUUAAUAAAAGCUCUUAUAAACAACCAAAUGAUUAAAAAAAUUUUAAGUAAAACAUUUUUCUUAUAAAAAAUCUACUAAGAAAAAUUCUAUUUAAUUAAACUUUGUUUGUAAAGUUAUAUCAAGCGGAGCCUAAGAGACUUUCAUGGUCGGUGAAAUUUUUAGCUUUGUGGGAUUGGCCAGUAGUGUUUUCUUCAACACUCAACAGGAUUUCCACUACGGAGUGUCUGAAGGUUCAUACUGAUUGGAUAUUUCCUGGAAACAACUUGAUGCAUCUUUGUAAGAUUGACUAAAGACAAAAGAGAAAAUACCAUACUCAUCAUCCCCCAUCAAUUGUUGGCUAGAAACAGCAUAGAUAGUUCAUAAACAUCGAAAACUUUGAAUGAAGUCACUCCUGUCAAUAUCAAAGGGCCGAAGUUACAAGUCUAUGAUCGCCAAUAUGUUCACAUUAUCUGGUCGCGUCAUUUCCUGAUCUCUUUAUAUGAGAUAAUCAUCAGUCUUCCACCAAUAUGCGCGUUUUCUAUACCGUUCGUUUUGUUGGGUCAUGAGCCUCGAUCACGUUUGAGUCAACGUCAUUUUGUGAAUUUUCAUCUAGCAGAACACAUAGCACACGUAGAAUAUGAGACACGGCUUAACAACUUGUAUUCCAUUGAAUUUAUAGCGGUGAUUAAGCCACAAAUGAUGUCAAAUGGAAAGCUCUAGUUGAGAAAUGAAAGUUAGUAGUUGGUAUUUGGUAUAUAUGAUUAAGCCACAACUGUGGGUAAUUUUCAGACCAUAGUUAUAAGUGUUUACAAAACAGUUAUUUAACAGAGACCCCAAAUGGAGCCACAGUUUUAUCUAUCUAACAUUGAGUUAUAAUUUUAGCGGAGAUAAAUAGUUGAAGUGGGAUUUUCAGAUUCUUGAGCGAAGGGUUGAUUUCGGGGAAAGUCAACUCCAGCACGAGACCAAAUUUUCUUUGCCUUCAGUUCAGACAUGACUUGGGAAGCCGUGAAGCAAGUUAUUUAAGCAAAGUCAAUGAAGUCAUUUUUAAGUCGGGAAAAGUAUUAGUGGAGUCUUGCCUUCGAAAUUAGACCUCUGCACUUCGACAAGCUCUAUAUAUAAAGGAAUAAAAAAAUAUUAAAGGGCAAGCUCAGGAGAUUGCUUCUCAUUUAAGUACAAGAAUGUGCCGCUCAACUUACUCCCCUUACAUUAUUCUUUUAUGCAUCACGCUGAUACAAGUCCCAAAUUUUGCCACUUCCCUUUCAAAUGCCUUUCAGGAGAGAGAUCGUGUUGCAUUUCAGGCUUUCAAGUUAAUGAUUACUCAAGACCCUGAAGGAGUCCUGAACUCAUGGAAUGAUUCUCGCCAUUUCUGCGACUGGGGGGGGCAUUACUGGCAGUCCAAGGCAUAGAAGAGUGACCGUCCUGGACCUGAAGUCAAAAGGCUUGAUUGGCUCAUUGUCUCCUCAGAUUGGCAACCUGGCAACAACACCAUCCAAGGAAAAAUCCCUGGUGAAAUCGGGCGUCUGUUCAGGUUAGAAGCUCUGUAUCUGCCCCAUAACUCCCUCGUAGGAGAAAUUCCAGGCAACUUAUCUUACUGUUCCAGGCUCAUAGGCUUAUAUUUAGGACGCAACAAGCUAGAAGGAAGUAUUCCUUCAGAAUUUGGCUCUCUAUACAAUCUUAAAGAGCUAGCUAUACAGGCAAACAAUUUGACAGGAGGCAUCCCACAUUUUCUUGGGAACAUUACCUCCCUGGAAGCUAUAUCUCUAGCUUACAAUUCCCUUGGGGGAAAUAUUCCAAGUUCAUUGGGUCAAUUGAAAGAGUUAAAGUCUCUUGGACUCGGUGGAAACAACCUCGGCGGUACAAUCCCUCCCUCCAUUUACAAUCUUUCCUUGCUUGCUAAUUUUUCUGUUUCUGAGAAUCAACUUCAUGGAAGUCUUCCGCCAAGUUUAGGUCUAACUCUUUCUAAUCUCCAACUCUUCCAAUUCUCAAAAAACUUCUUCAGUGGAUCCAUUCCACUAUCUUUUUCCAAUGCUUCAAAACUCCAAUCUCUUGAAAUUUUGGGUAAUAAUUUUUUCGGAAAACUUUCUGGGAGACAUGAAAAAUCUUGAAUACCUAAAUGUAGGCAUAAAUAAUUUAGGAAGUGGGGAAAGUGAUGAGAUGAGUUUUAUACAUUCUUUGGCCAACUGUAGCAAUUUGUCCUUUCUAAAUUUAGUUGCAAAUCGAUUUAAAGGAGCAUUGCCUCAUUCUAUAGGUAACCUGUCUAGUCAACUUGAACGCUUGUUCAUUGGUGCUAAUCAGUUUUCAGGAAGCAUACCUUCGGAAAUAGGUAAACUUGUUCGCUUAUAUUUAAUAGAGAUGGAUCAUAACCAAUUUGAAGGAAAAAUUCCCGAGGAAAUGAGUCGCCUUCAGAACUUACAAUUUCUGGAUAUGAGGCACAACCAACUCUCGGGAAAUUCCUUCUUCUUUUGGUAACUUGUCAUCACUAGUUGAACUUCAGUUGAAUAAUAACAAUUUAUCAGGAGUCAUCCCUUCUAGUCUAGGAAAUUUAAAACAAUUGGCACUAUUGCACCUGUUCCAAAAUGACCUCAGUGGGGCUAUCCCAGAAGAAAUUUUCAAUACAUCUCAUAUGUCAGAUUCACUGAAUUUUGCCCGAAACCACUUGGUUGGAUCCAUACCUCCAAAGAUUGGUAAUCUGAAAGUUCUAAGGAUGUUUGUUGUGUCUAGCAAUAACUUGUCUGGUGAAAUUCCAAGCGAAAUUGGUUCUUGUUUUUAUCUUCAAGAGAUUUAUAUGGCAGAAAAUUUCUUUCGUGGAUCCAUUCCUUCAUCCCUGGGUUCUUUGAAAGAUCUGCUAGAGAUUGAUCUUUCUCAGAAUAAUUUGUCAGGGAAAAUUCCAAUAUCCCUCGAACGUCUUCCUUUGGAGUACCUAAACUUAUCCUUCAAUGAUUUAGAAGGCCAAGUACCAACGAAAGGAAUUUUUGCAAAUGCUAGUGCUAUAUCAGUUUCUGGUAAUAGUAAUAGACUUUGUGGGGGCAUACCUGAAUUGCAACUGCCCAAAUGCCCCAGGAACAAUUCAAGGAAUCAUAAGAUCUCUCGAGGGGCACUGAAAGUAAUCAUCUCAACUUGUAGUGUCUUUUCAGGAUUACUCCUGGUGUCAUUUUUCAUUUUCUACUGGCUGAGAAGGAGGGGAGGAUCAGGCAAAGAACCUUCAGAGCCCAUACUGAGAAGAGCACUACGGAAAGUGUCUUACGAAAGUCUCCUGAAAGCAACUGAUGGGUUUUCUUCGACACACUUGAUUGGGAUUGGCAGCUUUGGCUCUGUGUACAAAGGAACAUUCGAUCGAGAUGGAACUAUUGUUGCAAUCAAAGUGCUUAACCUUCAACUACGAGGAGCUUCGAAGAGUUUCGAGGCUGAGUGCAGAGCCUGAGAAAUAUCCGUCACAGGAAUCUUGUCAGGGUCAUAACUUCAUGCUCAAGUAUUGAUUUUCAAGGUAACGACUUCAAAGCUCUUGUUUACGAGUACAUGCCAAAUGGGAGUCUCGAAAACUGGUUGCAUCCAGAUGCGAUUCCACAAACAGAUGAAGAAAAUGACGAGAUUCGAAAUCUUACCCUUCUUGAGAGAAUAAGCAUUGCAAUCGAUGUGGCAUCUGCACUGGACUAUCUUCAUCACCACUGCCAAGAACCAACAAUCCAUUGUGAUCUAAAGCCAAGCAAUAUCCUUCUCGACAAUAACUUGACUGCUCAUGUUGGUGAUUUCGGGCUGGCAAGAUUACGUCAAGAAGUCCCAAAUAAUCAGAGCAGCUCUGUUGGAGUAAGAGGAACAAUUGGCUAUGCAGCCCCAGGUGAUUGCUUUCAAAUCCAUUGAGUUGCUUUUUCACAUUUACAACUCUUAAUUUCUUCUUAAAAAAUACUAUAGUGCUUGAUGUAAUUUUUUUUGAAUGGCAUAGUAUGGCCUAGGAAGUGACGUGACAGCAAAAGGAGAUGUUUACAAUUAUGGGAUAUUGUUGCUAGAAAUGGUGACAGGAAAAAAAACCCACAGACAUUAUGUUUGAAGGAGACUUGAAUCUUCACAAUUUUGCUAGAAUGGCCUUGCCCGAUCAUGUGAUGGAUAUUGUAGAUUUAACACUUAUAAAUGAUGAUGGAGAUUUAGAUACCACAAGUAACCAGAGGCUGCAGCAAGCAAGGCUCAACUGUAAAAUAAGAGCGUCUCAGUUCUAUGGUUAAGAUUGGAGUUGCAUGUUCAGUGGCAUCGCCGCAAGAUCGGAUGAACACAACCAAUGUUGUACACGAGUUACAAUCAGUCAAGAACAUUCUUCUUGAACACGAAACUAUGUUCAACAGGCAAAGAGGUAAUUAUUUUAUACAUACUUUCUUUCUUGUAGUAUCAUUUUAUACGACGUAGUGAAGAAAGGUUCAUUAUUACUAAAAUUCCUUUGUUUUUUAUAUUUUUAAUAAUCACAGGGUAACAGAAGUCAAAGCUUCAGAGAUCAUAAGAAAGUAAAAUUUGAUAGGAAAGGAACGCGAUCACAUGAGAAUGAGCUUCUGUUAGUUUCUGGGUUCAGUUGCAUGUAUUCAAUCCGUUUCCAAUAAAACAUUGAUUUUGAGAUUUUUAUAUAGAGGUUUGAUUUUCUUCUUUUUUUUUUUUUAAAUUUUGGUUAUUUUGACGAGCACAUAUUUUUAUUUGUAUUAACAGAGCGAAUACUCUGUGUACUAACCUGUAUCUAGAGGUUCUCCAUAGCAGCAAUACUUGAAAAUGAAUCUUAAUAUUGUGAGUAAACUUGGAUCACCACAUGACAUCAACUUUUGCGAAAAAUAUAUUAGAAAAUAAAAAUUGCUAGGGAUUGAGAAACAACGACAAUCCCAUUUCCAUUGAUGAUCAGAAAUUAACUUUAUUCAUGUUAAAUUGAUUAGAGCACCAACGUACGUACACCAUCAACACAUACAAUGACAAUGAUGCUCACUCUUGACUGGCUUGCAAAUGCAGCCCUUGCACUCGGUGGUACAAUACUUCCAGCAUUUACCGGUAUUGGGUUGAUCGUCCUUGCCCUUAACACAGUUUCCAAGCUGAGGAUGGUUUCUGCAACAUUUUGAAGCGCUCACCUCAUUGCAAUCUGAACAUAUAUAUGAACUUGGAUCAAUAUUAUUAAAAAGGUUUCUAUAAUGAAGCAAUUAUCUUUGAGAUAUUAUGUGAAAAUUAGAGCAAAAAUUUUCAUGUUUUGAACACAAGAGAAUAACUAUAUAUGAAAUUCGUGUAUGUGGUAUUUAGCCAUUAGUUCAUGAAUCCAAUUAAUAAAUAUCACUUUGUGCAGAUUAUUUAGUUUUAAAACUUAAGUUACAAUAGAAAUAAAACUAAAAACUAAACGUACUGAUCACGAUGGUCAGCAAAAGGACUGCCAAAAUAAUGAAAGCGAAAACUUUAGUUUGAGAUUGAGCCAUGUCUCCGAUCUUGUGAAUGAACUGGUUGCAUAAAAGAUUGUUCAAAGUUUUUGUGUGAUUUGAUAAACUCCCAUGGUCGUACACUAUUUAUAUUUAUAGUGACUUCUGUGACUUACAGUGAGCAGAUUUCAGUAGCUCGUAAGGAGAAGAUUUAAUGCAGCAAUGUAAAAAUAAGAAGGUAUUGAUUAAUCACCUAAACAUAUACUACUAAAAUCUUUGUAUUUACCUUAAAAAAACACAUUAAUUCCCGUUUUGCUUUUAAUGCUUCCACACUGAUUUAAUUUCCUAUUUCGUGUAUGGAAACUUCCAACCGUGCAUUUGAUUCCAACGUUUUGGUCUUUGUUGUUUCUUACAUUCACAGAAUAUUUACAAUAAAUCUAAGUUUAUUCUUACCCUUUUGAAUAGAUAUACUAAUUAAUUAGGAAAUUCACAGUUUUUAUUAAAAACUAAAUUUGGCAGGUAAUACAUAAGUUAAAUAUUGCAAAUUUUCUGCACUAUAUAUAUAUAUGAGGGCGGAUUAAGAGCCCUCUAAAAUUACACUUAAUUUUAUACUAAUUUUAAGACUUUGGAUUUAAAAUAUAUCAAGAAGAUUUAAUAAAUUAAAUGGUAUUACUCUUUUUUACUUUUUAUCAUUAAUGCACACUUUCUCUCUCCUCUCAUCCAUCUUCUUCCCCAACGCUUUCUGCCUUCUCAUCCAUCUUAAUAAAAAAUUAGGAGGAGUUUAUAAAGUAAUUUUUUUUUUUUUUUAUCGAUAAACAAAGGAAAUUUGAAAAUCCUCCGGUUUCCUUUGUUAAGUUUAUUCUUGUUGGAACUCUUCAACUGGCAAAAUCCUAAAGACAUACACCGGCCAUACCAAUUCGAAGUACUGCAUAUCAUCCACCUUCUCCGUGACAAAUGGGAAGUAUAUUGUUAGUGGUUCUGAGGAUAGUUGUGUGUACUUAUGGGAAGUUCAGGCCCGAAAAGUAGUUCAGAAAUUGGAAGGUCACACAGGUCCUGUCAUAUCAGUGGCAUCUCACCCCACGAAGAACAUUAUCGCAUCUGGUGCACUUGACAAUGAUAGGACCGUGAAGAUUUGGACUCAGGAACAGGAAUGAAUUGCUUCUCAGUUAAGAAUUCUCUCGACAUUAUUGCAUAUAUAUAUAUAUAUAUAUAUAUGAAUGCAAGGAGAAAAUUGGAGAUAGUUUUGUUUGUUUUGUAGACACAUUGAUUGGGUUUCAAUUUCAUGUAAUAUUAAAAUCCAUUGAUAAGAAUUACAUAUGAAGGCAUAAAGAUUUUAUUAUAAAAGAAUGUGCAACUGUUUGCCGAUUGAGGUUCAAAAUUUUAGCACACAAUUGCGUAUAGAAGGAAACUGUGUACAAGCACUUACUUCCUCAGUUCCUCUAAUUGAAAUUGACACCAGGCUGCUGCAUCAGCACAAAACUUGUAAUCAUGCAUGCGUUAGUUUCACUUUUACUUGCCAUUAAAAUUCUGCUCUUCAAUUCUUCUAAAUAUGCUUCUAUAAAUUGAUUACCAGUGACUGAAAGUUGAUUUGGAAAAUGUUGUAAUUCCAAAACCACAUAAAGCAAAGCAAGCUUGGUGCUUUACAUUUUUCAUGAGAAAUUCAACUAGUAAAGAAAGGCAACCAACCCGAGAAAUUAAUCACAUCCAAAUCCGCAUUAGGCAUCUAAUAGAACAAUUAGAAACAACUAAUGGAUGAUAUAAGAAAACAACUUGUGAAAAUUAAACCAUCUAUUGUUUAACAUUCAAAGUGCAGCAAGAACUAUCCUUAAUUACUAGUUCUCAAUUGUUUAAGGGCGCUCGUUCUUUGAUCGCACAGGAAGCAACCAAAUGGACUCGACUUGAUAUUUUUAAUACGUUUGAAGCAGAAUUGAAUCAUGUCAUUUUAUCUUGUAGUAAUCCUUUCUAAGCCCCCUUUAAAAUCCUUAUAAAACCUCACUUUUGUAAUAAUAGUCCUAUAAGUUCUAUCGUUAGACGAAAUUACAUAAAAGGACAACUAAUGAAUUAAACUAAAUUAAAAAUCUUAAUACCAGCAAAUUAUGAACCCUCCUAUCUUUAAAUCAUAUAUAAACUCAAAAUAGUUUUGAGAUAAUGAAAAAAAUAAAUUGCCUAGUAAUAAGAUCUUUAUUAUGAAAAAUAUAAUUAUUUUGAACUCUAUUUCAAAAUUGGUGAAACUAAAAAUAACACCCAGCCCUCAAAUGUUGUUGAAUUUCGAGUUGGAUUUCUGUACGCAUGUAGAUAUUCGUAAAGCUAUGCUAUAGAAAAAAGAAAAAAAAAAAAAAAAAAAGGGAGUCAAUCUGGAGGGUUGAGAUCAUUUUUAUUAUUUUUAAAAAAUUAAAAAGAAAAAAGAAAAAAUAUUAGAAUUUGGUGAAUUGAUGAAAAACUCUUUGAAAGAUCCUUUUAUGGAGCAAAAAGGGUUUUGGAAAAAAUGUAAAUUUUUUUUAUAGGCCUAGACCCAAAGGCUAUACACAAUUUUUUAUGUAAAAAAGGCAAUUUUGUCGCUAAAGGGUAACAUGUUAAAUUUUGAGAUGGACUUUUGUAUGCAUCUAGAUAUUGAUGAAACUAGGCCACAACAAAAAAGAAAGGAGAGAGAGAGUUAAUUUUUUGGCCUAAAAUAAUUUUACAAACCUUUGAAAACUUUUACAAAAAAAAAAAAAGUUAGAAGAACUUGUCGAAUUGAUGUGGAACUCAUUUGAAGCUCUUUUUAGAGCCUGAAUAGGGUUUUUAUUUGGGGGAUGUGCUUCGAUGAAGACCAGCAGUGACGAGCAGACAUCUGGUAGCAGGAUCUCGCGAACAGGUAUAUCUUGUAAGAGUCUGGUAGCAGGGGAGCAGAAGCAUGAAUAUUCUACUCGUCCAUUAAUAUAUCAUUCGCGAGGCCGAUCUCCUUCUAGAAGCAUAAAGCCAUUUCUUGCUAAGGGUUGAGUCGAGGAGACCCGGUCAACGACAGUUGGCGAAGCGUACUCUUUAACCCGAGAAUUAAGGCACGAAGGCCACGCAACCACCCACGAUUACAGAAAUGGAGCAUCCACUUUCGAGAGGUGGGAGGGUAACGAGCGUGAAUGAAGGGAAGGUCUGAAUUCAGGAGAGGCCUAUAAAAAGGUAGCCAACGAAGGUAAAAGGGUUAGAACUUUUGAUACAUAAACUGAGAAAAAGAGAGCAUUUCAAUAAUCAAUACCCAAAAACAAGCCUUGAGAUUAGUGGCUAACGUUCCUAGGAACACAAAACCUUCAUAUCUGACUUGAGCGUCGGAGGGUUUACGCCGGGAGAACAACCGGCGUGCUCUGACUUGUUUCUGUGUACGCAUGAAUUUUUGGAAAAGAAAGCAUACGAGGAGAGAUCAUGAUCGUGGUCGAGUCGAUUGAGUAAAGAUCCUGGUCGUAGUAGAAAGAGUAAGCAGAAUCUCGCAUCAACAAUUUUUAUGCGAAAAAUCCAAUUUCUUUAUUCAGGCUCUAUUUCAGCUCUGAAUAAAGGUUAUAGCAUAAGGUUUUGGGUCUUCAAAUGGAUUUUGCUGUUAGGGGGUAAUGGUAUUGAAUUUACAACUGAUUUUUUGCACGCAUGGAGAUAUCCAUGAAACUAGGCCAUAGGAGAACAUGGGAGUCAAUUUGGAGGUUCGAAAUAUUUUUUUCCAAUUUUCAUAAUGUUUUUUUGAAAACAUUAAAAAAAAUUCCAAAAACUUAAGAGAGCUUGUUGGAUUAAUGUAGAACUCUUUGGAUAAAUACCAUAUUGCAUCUUGUUGGAUUAAUGUAGAACUCUUUGGAUAAAUACCAUAUUGCAUUCAUUUAGAUGCAAUUGAUUUAGCGUCCAAUUGUUUUCCAACUAUAAAUAUGACCUAAAUUUUUAAUAAAAGUUGUUCUUGAAAAUGGUACUAUCGAAUACAUAUUAAAUAUUUUUAUAAUUUUCAAUUGUGUCAAUUGAAUACAUAUUAUUGUUUUCAAUUUUAAAAUAAAGGAUACAGAAAAUAAUAUCAAAUGCAUGUCACAUUAAUUUAUAAAAGAUAAAUUUAUACAAAUAUUUAUUCACGUAUCAUCACUCUAUAAUAAAAAAAAGUCUAAUAUCACUAGCGUUAAAAGCUCGACUUGUUUGAUAAAUUAAAAUUAUAAGAUGAACAAGGCAUCAUCGCUGUCCUUUUAGUGUAGAUAAAAGUUUGAAGCCCAAUAGCGGCGAGAUGGCCCAUGAUAUGAUGAUGGACGGUUCAGAUCUUUCUGAUUAUGCCGAUAAACCCUAGCGUUUUCUUUCCUUUCUAUAUAAAUAUAUCAAGUUACCUCGCCCUUUCCUCCUCAUCAAAUCGAAUGAAUCAAAUGCAUUCCAAGAAUCCGCUGCUUGCCCAUCAAAGUUUUCAUCUAAAAUUUCCUUCUUUUUUUCUUAAGUUUAAAUGGAUUUAUAAAAGAAAAUGGGUGGUCGGCCUAAUAUUGCAAUUCUUUGAUACAGAGUAAAAUGAAUCAAGGAAUCUAUCGUUAGGCCAAAGCGAAGAACCGUAUACAUACUCAAAACUCGUGUAUGUAUACUCUACCUUCAGCUCCGUUUUUUUCUUACUAGAAACAUUUUGCGGUGACAAGGUAGAUACAGUCAAUUCAUUAUUCGUAGCUUUUUUGGCAUCUCCCUUCUCAAUUUUAUUUUUUUAUUUUAUUUUAAUAAGCUCGGUUUGGUAUUGGCAUGGAGGUGGAUGGAUGAUGAAAUAAAUCAGACGGAUUCCCAAUGAUUUUGUUUUAAUCAAAAUAUGAUAUUAACAACCAGCUACUUCUGACUCCACUCCAUGGCAUGAUUUAUUUAAAAAAAAAAUUAUUCUUUUUUUUUUCUUUAUUUGGGAUUGAUUUGGCCGGUGAUGUAAUAACAAAUAUUUGCUACUCUUGAUUGGGGGAUUUGUUUUACAAACUAAUUCUUCACUGAUGAUUCACAUCCACCAAGAUCUCUGAGGCCAUAACAUUUUAAUUUAUUAAUGCGGAGAUUAAAGAUUUGCUUUACAAAAGUUUUUUUUUUUUUUUUUAAUCUUUUCUCGUUUAUGGAAAUAAGAAGCUCUUUUAUCUUUUUGCUAUGCUGCAGAUAAAAAAUUUACUGUAAAUGAUAUUUAAUUAUUUCCAUCCGAACUUCCCCUUUAAGCUGGACUCAGGUUUUGAAGACUAUACAUUGGUAGCCAGGCAAUUCACAUUGGAAACUCUUAAGAGGCAAAUCCCAUAAUUUUGUAAUUUACACUGUUGGGUGCUAUUGAUGAUAUGUUGUUAAUAAUUAAUUAACAGUCAAACCAUGUACAAAGUUAAAAACUGAAACAAAGAGUGGACUUCAUUGAUACGGAUGUCAUUUGCACUUGUCAUAUCAAACAUGCAGAAUGUAAGUGAGCAUGCUCAGUCCAAUAACAUUACCACCAGUUUACAAACAAUUAGCAACUCCGGAGAGUAUACAACUUUCUUAUUGUUUGUUUGUAUUGGAACAUUGGUACCUCCCCUCCUGCAAAACUAUUGCAGGGAUUUCACUUAUCUCUGGACCUGUGUAUCCGCAGUUGUGAAGUAGAGUUGGUUACCCUCUUAGUAAUUUACAGUUGAUUUGAUUGCAUCUAAUAUCUGCAUCCAAAAUCAGGAACGGGAUUCUCGUUAGCUACCGUGAGCUGUAAGAUUCAUGCAACAAUGCUGUGUAGGAACUUUGAAGGAUUCAAGACAACUUGCCUUAUUCUUGGUGGGCAUGUAGAAUGGUUCGAAAACGAGAGGGAAGGGAGUGUCCAGACCACAAACUCGAGCCACUGGAGCUUCUAACUGCAAUGCAUCGUACCUCUUGAAUUAUUUAUUAAUUUAUAUGAUAGACAAGGAAGAUACUGAUGCAUUUCUAGAACUAAGACGUAUGUGCUUUUUUUUGUGAAAGAAAAUAACAUCAUUAUUUCAGAUAAACUUAAUGCUAGCCAAGUGAGACAUCUACUUCUCAACUAAUACCAAGAUCCCAACUUUUGCAUGAGUUUACCAUGCAGAAAUCAGCUGUGUAAUUUGACUCGCAUAGCAUCUUCACAGUAGUUAUUCAACAGUUGUACAAUCCAGAGAUUUAAUUUCAGCGCAUACCAACCUGGAACGCCAAGAAAAAGCUAUGCACACAACUACUCUAGAGUGCCACCAAGAAUGACUAAUUUUCUACUCAAAUGUUUUAUCUAACAGUUACCUAGCAGUGCAAUGUCAAAGACCAACUCCUUAUAUUGCUCAAAAUUAGUGAGUUAAGAGCAUGAAAGCCAUAUUUUACAUGCAAGAAAAGCAUUCCGGUUUGCCCCUAGUAGCUAGUACAUUAAUUAACUAUACAAGAGUACACAAGCCAUGUUGAUAGGUGCCUUGUCUCAUCAGAAUUGUUUAACUGUGAUACGUAAUCUGCCAUCCAACCAGUGAUUUGUCAUACUACAAUUUACCAGCCUACAACGUUUAUUCAAACUAUUACUGAAGAUUAGCACCAAAAUCAACAACAAUCAGCUCGGGUUACUAAAUAACAGAAAGAAUCAAGGAAAAAAAAUGAUCUGAAGAAAGAGAUUACCCUUAAGAAACAACGUUCAAGGAUAGAUGCAGAAAUUUCAGCACCAAAACCACCAGUAACCGGAGCUUCAUGACUAAUCUGCAGAGUGCCAAAAAAUAAAAAAACUCAUCACUGACACCAGCCAAUUAUAUCAAGAAGCAUUUUUAUGUGAAAUUUUUAUCCUUACAAGAAGUCGUCCGGUUUUCCUGACAGAGGCCUCUACUGUUUCCUUAUCCCAUGGUAUCAGCGUCUUCAGGUCUAUCAGUUCACAAGAAAUUCCUUCCUGGAAAAACCCCGUGGCUCAAAUAACUAAUGAGAACCAAAAUCCUUAAGAUAGCAAAAAGCAUUUCCUUGUGCUAGUAAUAACAUUACAUCAAACGUUGUUGCAUUAUGAUUCUGGAAAUACUUGAUAGGGGGAUAUGAUAUGGAGGUUGGAGAUUGAUUAGAAUUACACCACACAAUUACCUAGACCUCAUGGAUGUGCUACCAUAUAAUAUUUCUGCACCACUGCAUAUGGUCUAAGAAGUUUGGUAUAGUUCGUAUCACAAUAAAAAAAAAAAAACAUUUUCGAGCAAUGAGAAAGAAUCACAUACCUUUUCAGCAUCUAAACAGGCCUGCUCCAUGAUAGACAGUUGUGCUCCCCAGCCAACAAGUGUUAUGUCACUGCCUUCUCGAAUCACCUAAUUAUUGCAAUUUGAAUUUCUUCAGAUUCCAAAUUCUCUAUCGAAGAUAAUUAUUUAUUGAUGAAUAAGUUGCAUACCUCUGCCUCUGAUAAAGGCAACAUAUAAUCAUCCUCAGGAACCUCUUCUACAGAAAAACGGUAAAGCCACUGGAUAUCCAAGACAUUUACAUGAUAUCAAUAACAAAAAUCAUCAGUUGAUAAAUGGGUACAAAAAGAAUCACCAAACUUGAGUUGAAGUACAGUACCUUUGGCUCAAAAAAGACAACAGGGUUCGGAUCACGAAUGCAUGACAGCAAUAAUCCUUUUGCUUGUUGUGGGCUUCGAGGGAUGACCACCUAGAAAAUUCACUGAUUAAGUAUUGGAAGCAAUGCAAAACAUCAAACAAUUUUAGAAGGGAAGUGCUAAACUUCAGCUCCCUUGCAAAAGGAUUAGGACCAAUUGAAAGAUUUUCUAUAAUCUCAAAGGUACAACAAAACAGUUUCUUUGGACUCCUCAUGAACUGCAGUUAGCAUGAGGAGCAUUGCCCCACAGGGAGAAGGAUGCUAACCACAGGAGAGAAGAGAAAUAAAUAAAUUAAAGUCAUAUUAACUCAAGGAGAAGAAAAUAUACUUUGAGACCAGGAACGUGACAAAAGAAAGCUUCAGGAGAUUGUGAGUGAUAAUGUCCACCAUGGCCCACAGCUCCGUAAGGGGCUCUUACUGUUAAUCCUGGGGAAUCACAUGAAGGCCCUUCAAGGACAAAACAAGAGCAGAGAGAAGGGGAGGAAGAAAAACUAAAAAAGAAAGAACCAGAGGGGAGCAUUGGACAAUAAACGCAGCAACAUAUUACCUCCACAAUUAAAUUGAUUUCCACUCCUGUAUCUGAACUUAGCAGCUUCAUUGACAAUCUACCAAGAAGAUUAUGUCAACUAAAGGUGAAUUAUGAAGCCACAAGAGAUGCUAGUUUCUGGAAGAGAGCUAUACCUGAUCAAAAGCUGGAAAAAUAUAAUCUGCAAAUUGAAUUUCAGCUAUAGCUCGAUUUCCCUAUCACACAUGAAAUGAAAGCAAGGGAUAUGUACAUCAUAUUAGAGGUUCCUGAGGAACUAUGCUGAGAAUGACUUCCCAGCUUGUGCAUUUUAAACAUAAGUUUCUGAAACAAACCAUAGCUGCCAGACCAAUGGCAAACCCAACGAUGCCCUGCAUACAAAAAAGAUAAUACGAACCUAUCAAAUAUGCAUAGCACAGAAGAGUCCAAUAUUAGUGCGUGGAAAGAGAGUGAGACUCUCUAUUUGACUCAAUACGCAGGAGUAUGAACUAUGACACCAAAAAUGGAGAUUAUAUAUGAACUAUGACCAAGAACAGAGUCUGGAAUACCUGCUCACAAAGAGGGGUAUUGAAUACCCGACUUUUACCAAAUCGAUCAGCUAAUCCUGUCGUGCAUCGGAAGACUCCACCAAAGCCCACAUCUUCUCCAAACACAUAAGCACUGUGACAAGAUAUAACCAUCCAUAAGAAGACUCACCGUCACAGAACUCGCAAAAGUACAAAGAGGCUCUAACGAUGUAAAAUAGAAAAGAAGACUAUAACCAAAGUUGGUUGGUGUGAGUGGUUCGGCACUCUCACUCCUUAAGAGAGGUCAGGGGUUCAAGCCCCGCUCUCGUAUGGAGUCAUCACUUUGGCCAGCAUUUUACCCCUUAUGGGCCGACCCGGUGAGAGCGGAAAUUAGUCUGAGUUGUGGUACGGGCUUAAAGAUGCCUCCCACAGUUGGGGCCCACUCAGGACCACCUCGUGGUUCAGACAAAAAAAAAUAGAAAAGAAGACUACAUAUUUCACAGGAUUUGAGAAAAUUUCAGCUGAAAUGAUUAAAAACAAAUUCAUCGAAAUGAAAACGCAUGAGAGACUGCUAAGCCAGGCAAUCGACAGCUAAUCCUACACCAAUCCUUAUCAACUUCAUGUAUCAUCCUCUCCAAGUUUCCAUUUUUCUUCAACGAACUGAAUAGUCAAUGAAAAUAAUACUAACCCAAAUCCAAAAUCUCAAAUCACUGAUCAGAUAUAAAAAUAUGAAGACAAUUCAUUAAGGCCUACAAAUCCAAACCAAGCUCAAAAGACAACAAAAACUCCACAAAGAUUGAAAGUAUACAAGAAUAAAUAAAAAAAACACAAAAACCAAGCCGGGUAUCUUAAAAAACAAACCGUGGAUCAGUUUCCAAAGCAAUAUGAAGAGCCUGGUUGAUGGCAGAGUACAAAUUCAAAGACUUGCCACUGCCAACACCCCCAUCGUGUUGUUGAAUUAGCUGCUUGUUCGCACAAGCAGUUGAAAGAUUUCUCCUUGAAAGGGAACCCACAAAUCUUCUCAAACCAGAAGCCAUAUUGUGAAAUCUCCGCCAAGAUUUUUGGUUGUGGAGUCUGCAAAUAUUGAAUUCAUGUGCGUUUGUCUGCGUUGAAAUGUUUUUAGUUCGGAUUUGAGGGGAGUUGAGAAUAAGCCAGCUCAAGUAUUACGUGGAUAGAGCUCUAUAGUUUGGAGCCGGGGGCGUACUAGCUGCUGAGUUGUUUUCUGUGCACGUGCCGGUCUGAUCACUACAUGAUAAAUCUAUUGGUUAGUGAAUAUGUCUCUUAUUUGUAGCGAUGAUGUGCACUUUUAUAUGUAAUAUUACGCAAAUAGUGUUACUGCUUUGCCUUUUAGGAUUUUAUUUUAUGUUUAAUAUCAAGUCCUAUGCUAAGAUUAGUGCCUCUAAGCAAAAGGUCAAGUAUAGUAAGCGCCAUGAUACCAACGUAUAAACUCGGCAAUUUGUCAUCUUCUUUGCAUUUACUAGUACGUAAACAGUAAGUAGCAAGCAUUAAAACAUUGACUUGGCAGCGCAACAUAGCUCAUUUCCUUCGGUUGAGGCAACGCCUUAAGCUCUUACGUGGCGAGAGCGUAGUCCCCAAACGGCUAAAGUCCUAAGUUCGACUAUUAUUAGGAGAGAAUGAGACAAGAUCUGAUUACCCUCUCUUAAACAAGUAAAGAAAAUACAUUAUUCUAUUCAUCAAACAUGUUGGUAGAAGCAACCAUUUUCAGAAAUUUUAGAAAAAAGAGACUUUAUUACGAUCAUCAGAUCAUUUACGUAACUUUAUUUAGUUACAAAUUUAGAUAAUAAUUCAUAACUUAUUAUUUUGAAACGACAACCGGGUGCUUAUAUAAAGUAGUUUAGAAAUUUGGCUUUGGCGUCACCACUCAAAACGAAGAAUGGAUACUCUGCAAAUCAGCCAUGAAGGCAUCAACCGUGAUUAAUGGCCUCAUGCUAUAAGCAAUAGGCAAAGCAACGACCCCUGAUCAAGUCAGUCAACCACAGUAUUGCUAAAACUUCUGAAAUAUUAAAUUUGGAAUCUUAACCUGUAUGAUGAUUACCAUUUAUUGAUAACUGCAUCAGCUUUCAGUAACCUUUCUACUUACCAACAAUACACAAAACACAAGGCAAUCUUCAAUUUCGCGUCACAGCAUACAUGGCUUGUUCAGCAUUCCAUUCCACACAGAGAAAGCACCAAUGCAAUUUUAUUAAGCAGAAAACAAAAAGGGUCAUCACAUGCACUGGUAAAAAUAGCUACCAUAAAAGCAUACUCUAUUUCUUUGCUUACUGAAUAUCAAAAGCUCUCUAUUACAUUGAAAUAAUUUUCCCAGCUUGGCGCUUUAGCAGUCCUCUCUUCACCCAAAUUCAAGCUGCUCCAUAAGACAGGAAAAAUAUCCCAGACACAACUUUUCUUUUUAAAAAAAGAUAUUAAAAAAAAAAAGCAUAAUGGAAGAAGAAACAUAAAGAAAAAGCCACUAAAUAGCAUUCACUAAACCCAAAACCCUAGCAGAUGAAAAACUUUGUUAGAAGAUACCCACUA